CCUACGGGUGGCAGCAGUGAGGAAUAUUGGUCAAUGGGCGCGAGACUGAACCAGCCAAGUAGCGUGAAGGAUGACUGCACUGCGGGUUGUAAACUUCUUUUAUAAAGGAAUAAAGUGAGGCACGUGUGCCUUGUUGUAUGUACUUUAUGAAUAAGGAUCGGCUAACUCCGUGCCAGCAGCCGCGGUAAUACGGAGGAGACGAGCGUUAUCCGGAUUUAUUGGGUUUAAAGGGAACGGAGAUGGGUUGUUAAGUCAGUUGUGAAAGUUUGCGGCUCAACCGUAAAAUUGCAAUUGAUACUGGCAGUCUUGAGUACAGUAGAGGUAGGCGGAAUUCGUGGUGUAGCGGUGAAAUGCGUAGAUAUCACGAAGAACUCCGAUUGCGAAGGCAGCUUACUAAACUGCCACUGACACUGAUGCUCGAAAGUGUGGGUAUCAAACAGGAUUAGAUACCCCAGUAGUC
rnacentral:rRNA from 1 species